CUCCAUUCAACCGGAAUUAAUAAUUAUCCAAUUUACUCAGAUAUUGCAAAGUGACAUAGCCAAUUAACCACCAAAACCAAAAGUAAUUAUAAACAAUAAAACUGUGUCAAGAAACACACCUAAGCAACUUUCUUAUAAAAAAUGCAAACUUAUCUAUGAUUCAAGUGAUGCCCGGCAUUGUAAAACAGAAAUCCGCAGGCUUGCAUGACUACAUAACCGUACUUUUUUCUUGGGUUGUUCAUCUUAUAAAUUAUUAGACAACGUCCCUCAAUUUUUCAUAGCCUUGCCAUACAAAAUAAAAGAGGAAAUCAGCUUGGAAUAGUUUGACCAUCAAAUUUUACAUUUGUAAUAACGUCAAAGAACUGCAUACAUGCAUGGGGAAGGACAUAGCUGAAGUGGACUCUUUCCAUUUACCUUGAUUAUUUACUUAAUUAGUAGCCUUGCCGUGGCAAUCUCCUUAUAAAGAGAGAAAAAUUAGUUUCUGUGUCAGGGAUACAUCAUCAUCUCUUCUACUCCUAAUUUGACGCAUACGUGCUUGUAUUAAAAAUGGAUCACCGAGAAGUAACUAUUAAUAAAAAUCUUGCACAAAGCAUAAUCAGUAUAAUUAUAUGAUAGUAAUACAUAGCAAGGCGUCUAGGACUUUAAAUUAUGCAUCUUAUUAGAAUAGAAACAUGAAUAAAAUCAUGCAUCUUGUUAAAAAAGAAACAUGAAUGAUUACCAGAAAGAUUCAGAUAUAAAACCCUUCUCUUUUGAACCUAUUUCACAUCGACUCUGCUUCAAGAUAUAGACUGCUCUAUCUUUGAAAUUUUGGAAAUAAAAGAGACCAAGAGAAUAGUAAAGAAGGCAAU
rnacentral:lncRNA from 1 species